rnacentral:rRNA from 1 species
UACGAAGGGGGGCUAGCGUUGCUCGGAAUCACUGGGCGUAAAGCGCACGUAGGCGGCUUUUUUAAGUCAGGGGUGAAAUCCUGGAGCUCAACUCCAGAACUGCCUUUGAUACUGAGAAGCUUGAGUCCGGGAGAGGUGAGUGGAACUGCGAGUGUAGAGGUGAAAUUUCGUAGAUAUUCGCAAGAACACCAGUGGCGAAGGCGGCUCACUGGCCCGGUUACUGACGCUGAGGUGCGAAAGCGUGGGGAGCAAACAGG